rnacentral:rRNA from 1 species
AACGCUGGCGGCAUGCCUAAUACAUGCAAGUCGAACGGGAGUGCUUGCACUCCAGUGGCGAACGGGUGAGUAACACGUAUCUAAUCUACCUAAUAGCGGGGGAUAGCCUUUGGAAACGAAGGGUAAUACCGCAUGAGAACUUCAUUAUCGCAUGAGAAGAAGUUGAAAGCACCGUUUGGUGCACUAUUAGAUGAGGAUGCGGCGUAUUAGCUAGUAGGCGGGGUAAAGGCCCACCUAGGCGAUGAUACGUAGCCGAACUGAGAGGUUGAUCGGCCACAUUGGGACUGAGAUACGGCCCAGACUCCUACGGGAGGCAGCAGUAGGGAAUUUUUCACAAUGGACGAAAGUCUGAUGAAGCAAUGCCGCGUGAGUGAUGAAGGUUUUCGGAUCGUAAAGCUCUGUUGUAAGGGAAGAACACUUAGGAGAGGAAAUGCUCUUAAGCUGACGGUACCUUACCAGAAAGCCACGGCUAACUAUGUGCCAGCAGCCGCGGUAAUACAUAGGUGGCAAGCGUUAUCCGGAUUUAUUGGGCGUAUAGGGUGCGUAGGCGGUUUUGUAAGUUGAAGGUUAAAGCCCGGGGCUCAACCCCGGUUCGCCUUCAAAACUACAUCACUAGAAUACAAGAGAGGUAAGCGGAAUUCCAUGUGUAGCGGUGAAAUGCGUAGAUAUAUGGAAGAACACCUGUGGCGAAAGCGGCUUACUGGCUUGUUAUUGACGCUGAGGCACGAAAGCGUGGGGAGCAAAUAGGAUUAGAUACCCUAGUAGUCCACGCCGUAAACGUUGAGUACUAAGUGUCGGGGGUUAUACCUCGGUGCUGCAGCUAACGCAUUAAGUACUCCGCCUGAGUAGUAUGCUCGCAAGAGUGAAACUCAAAGGAAUUGACGGGGACCCGCACAAGUGGUGGAGCAUGUGGUUUAAUUCGAAGCAACACGAAGAACCUUACCAGGGCUUGACAUCCAAUGCAACGGUAUAGAGAUAUAUCCGAGGUUAACAUUGAGACAGGUGGUGCAUGGUUGUCGUCAGUUCGUGCCGUGAGGUGUUGGGUUAAGUCCCGCAACGAACGCAACCCUUGUCGUUAGUUACUAACAUUAAGUUGAGGACUCUAACGAGACUGCUAGUGUAAGCUAGAGGAAGGUGGGGAUGACGUCAAAUCAUCAUGCCCCUUAUGUCCUGGGCUACACACGUGCUACAAUGGCCGAUACAAAGAGUCGCAAUCUCGCGAGGGGGAGCUAAUCUCAAAAAGUCGGUCUCAGUUCGGAUUGGAGUCUGCAACUCGACUCCAUGAAGCCGGAAUCACUAGUAAUCGCGAAUCAGCUAUGUCGCGGUGAAUACGUUCUCGGGUCUUGUACACACCGCCCGUCACACCAGGAGAGUUGGUAAUACCAGAAGUAGGUAGCUUAACCGUAAGGAGAGCGCUUCCCAAGGUAGGAUUAGCGAUCGGGGUGAAGUCGUAACAAGGUAUCCGUACGGGAACGUGCGGAUGGAUCACCUCCUUUCU